AACGAACGCUGGCGGCAUGCCUAACACAUGCAAGUCGAACGAGACCUUCGGGUCUAGUGGCGCACGGGUGCGUAAAGCGUGGGAACCUGCCCUUAGGUUCGGAAUAACUCCCCGAAAGGGGUGCUAAUACCGGAUAAUGUCUUCGGACCAAAGAUUUAUCGCCUUUGGAUGGGCCCGCGUUGGAUUAGCUAGUUGGUAGGGUAAAAGCCUACCAAGGCGACGAUCCAUAGCUGGUCUGAGAGGAUGAUCAGCCACACUGGGACUGAGACACGGCCCAGACUCCUACGGGAGGCAGCAGUGGGGAAUAUUGGACAAUGGGCGAAAGCCUGAUCCAGCAAUGCCGCGUGAGUGAUGAAGGCCUUAGGGUUGUAAAGCUCUUUUACCCGAGAUGAUAAUGACAGUACCGGGAGAAUAAGCUCCGGCUAACUCCGUG
rnacentral:rRNA from 1 species